rnacentral:rRNA from 1 species
GUGAACGCUGGCGGCGCGCCUAAUGCAUGCAAGUCGAGCGUGUAACUGGCUUCGGUCAGUGAAAGCGGCAGACGGCUGAGUAACGCGUGAGUAACCUGCCCUUCAGUGGGGAAUAGCCUCGGGAAACUGAGAUUAAUACCGCAUAAGACGAUUACGCCCUGGUGUAAUCGUGAAAGCUUUAGCGCUGAAGGAGUGGCUCGCGUCCUAUCAGGUAGUUGGCGGGGUAACGGCCCACCAAGCCGAUGACGGGUAACUGAUCUGAGAGGAUGGUCAGUCAGAGGGGGACUGAGACACGGCCCCCACUCCUACGGGAGGCAGCAGCAGGGAAUUUUGGGCAAUGGACGAAAGUCUGACCCAGCGACGCCGCGUGGAGGACGAAGGCCUUCGGGUCGUAAACUCCUUUUCCGUGGGAAGAGCAAGGACGGUACCACGGGAAUAAGCCCCGGCUAACUACGU